GGGCACCUUGGGGCGGAGCGAGGCCCCGGCUGUGAAAGGCGAUGCGAGAGAGCGCGGCUGCCACCUUGGGCGCUACGGCUUUUGGGAGCGCUUCAGGCCAGGGUCAAGUAAGGCUGAGGGGGUUAAGGGGCCCGGGAGGCCGGCACCAGAAGAAGGCCGCAGAGCAGGUUGUCUGUUGCUGUUGUCCCUGAAGAGGUGACCGUUUGCUGUGAGUUAAUGAUGUUUCUGCUCCCUCCCAUUUUUUGACUCCUCCUUUUCCUCCUGUAAAACAACAUUACCAAAGGAACAUGCCGUGCGAGAUUUUCUCCUUGCAGCUAAUACCACUCACCUCCUUGAGAAGAAUGUCCUGUAACACAUUCCAGAAUAAUAAUAAUAAAAAUAAUAAAACCCCCGUAUGCUCUUGUAUGUUACUAUGUGGUGUGCUUAAUCCUGAAAAAGAGAGAACCUUGCCCCAAACAGCUUACUGUUUAAUGAGGAUUCAGUCAGCGUAUGUAACCGACAGUAGG